GGGCAGGAUAGGUGAAGUAGGCCCACCCGCAAGCGGCUCGUCCUUCUUCACGGCGCCUUAUUCGCACUGCGUGCUCAACGGGCGUCCUGCUCUGCGAGGCC
rfam:Candidatus Accumulibacter sp. SK-11 contig000025, whole genome shotgun sequence.